GUAGAGGAGGCAGGUAGACUAGUGGUUAGAGUGUAGAGGAGGCAGGUAGCCUAGUGGUUAGAGGAGGCAGGUAGCCUAGUGGUUAGAGUAAAGAGGAGGCAGGUAGACUAGUGGUUAGAGUGUAGAGGUGGCAGGUAGCCUAGUGGUUAGAGUGUAGAGGAGGCAGGUAGACUAGUGGUUAGAGUGUAGAGGAGGCAGGUAGCCUAGUGGUUAGAGUGUAGAGGAGGCAGGUAGCCUAGUGGUUAGAGUGUAGAGGAGGCAGGUAGCCUAGUGGUUAGAGUGUAGAGGAGGCAGGUAGUCUAGUGGUUAGAGUGUAGAGGAGGCAGGUAGACUAGUGGUUAGAGUGUAGAGGAGGCAGGUAGCCUAGUGGUUAGAGUGUAGAGGAGGCAGGUAGCCUAGUGGUUAGAGUAGGCCGUAAUUGUAAAUAAGAAUUUGUUCUUAACGGACUAGUUAAAUACUGGUUAAAUGAAUAAACAUGUAAAGUCUGACUGUGUCCUGGCUCUAGCUGUGGUGUGUUGGGAGCGGUUAGAGUUGGGUUGUCUGCUGGUCGUUGUCUCUCCAUCACUCUCACUGGAGCUCACAAUACGCUGGGCCUUCCGACCAGCACGCCUCAACAAUGGCUUCCUAAAACACACACACAGGUCAGAUAGAGACAGACGGGUCAGAUCG
ensembl:lncRNA